GGCUGGUUGGCGCAAUGGUAGCGCGUCCGCCUCCUAUUCCUCGCACACUUGUGCAUGCGAGUGUAAUACAAGCGGAAGGUUGAGGGUUCGAGCCCCUUGCUGGUCG